rnacentral:rRNA from 1 species
GUGGGGAAUAUUGGACAAUGGGCGAAAGCCUGAUCCAGCCAUGCCGCGUGUGUGAAGAAGGUCUUCGGAUUGUAAAGCACUUUAAGUUGGGAGGAAGGGCAGUAAGUUAAUACCUUGCUGUUUUGACGUUACCGACAGAAUAAGCACCGGCUAACUUCGUGCCAGCAGCCGCGGUAAUACGAAGGGUGCAAGCGUUAAUCGGAAUUACUGGGCGUAAAGCGCGCGUAGGUGGUUUUGUAAGUUGGAGGUGAAAUCCCCGGGCUCAACCUGGGAACUGGCUCCAAAACUGCAUGACUAGAGUACGGUAGAGGGUAGUGGAAUUUCCUGUGUAGCGGUGAAAUGCGUAGAUAUAGGAAGGAACACCAGUGGCGAAGGCGACUACCUGGACUGAUACUGACACUGAGGUGCGAAAGCGUGGGGAGCAAACAGGAUUAGAUACCCCAGUAGUCC